rnacentral:rRNA from 1 species
GACGAACGCUGGCGGCGUGCUUAACACAUGCAAGUCGAACGGAAAGGCCCUGCUUUUGUGGGGUGCUCGAGUGGCGAACGGGUGAGUAACACGUGAGUAACCUGCCCUUGACUUUGGGAUAACUUCAGGAAACUGGGGCUAAUACCGGAUAGGAUCUCCUGCUGCAUGGUGGGGGUUGGAAAGUUUCGGCGGUUGGGGAUGGACUCGCGGCUUAUCAGCUUGUUGGUGGGGUAGUGGCUUACCAAGGCUUUGACGGGUAGCCGGCCUGAGAGGGUGACCGGGCACAAUGGGACUGAGAUACGGACCAGACUCCUACGGGAGGCAGCAGUGGGGAAUAUUGCACAAUGGGAGGAAGCCUGAUGCAGCAACGCCGCGUGCGGGAUGACGGCCUUCGGGUUGUAAAAAGCUUUCGCCUGUGACGAAGCGUGAGUGACGGUAAUGGGUAAAGAAGCACCGGCUAACUACGUG